UUUAACUUAAAUUAUUGAAAUUCAGAUAACAAAGCAACGAGAAGAUACAAACAAGACAACAUAUAUGCAUAUCAAAGCAUUAGUAAUACAUUAUUGUGUAGAAUUUUAAUGCCUAAGCAAACUCAACUCCUCAAUUAAAACAUUCAAAUCUGAGUAAGAUGAUCCACCUUCUUCCACAGCCCUCUUAGACAACUCUGAUAAGACUUUGAUAUUGUUCUUCAUUUCAUCUGCUUCUUCCCCUUCCAUAAUCCUCUUCACAGCCUUCUCCACUUUAUUCCAUUCAACACUAUCCCCUUCCAAUCCAACCCAUUUCUUAACACCAACAGGCACACCAAUUUUAAGUACCUCAUUCACCAAUUUCUCAUUGUAAAAUUGCUCAGCAGCAACAGGCCAAGUAACCAUAGGCACCCUUGCAGUUAUUCCUUCUAAUAUCGAAUUCCAUCCACAAUGAGUCACAAAUGCCCCAGUUGCUUCGUGUUCAAGAAUCAACGCUUGUGGAGACCAACCUCUUAUAAUUACUCCUUUUCCUUCCAUAUUCUUCUCAAAUCCUUCUGGUAACCAUUCAUCUCCAUCUUCUUUGCUUCUCCUCACCACCCAAAUGAAAUUUUUCCCUGUCGCCUUGAGUCCCAUAGCAAUUUCUCUAAGCUGAGUGUCAGAAAAGUUUGCCAUACUUCCAAAGCAUAAGUAAACUACUGAAUUGGGUUUCUUCGCGUCAAGCCAUUUUAAGCACGCGUGCUGAUUAAUAGAAUCCGAGUUUCCUCUAUUUGCUUUUUCCUCUAUAUCCUUGUUGCAAAGAAACAAAGGACCAAUAUGCCAUGCUUUUCUUCCAAGUGCUUUCCUGUAAUAAUCUGCAUAAACAUUUUCAAGUUCAUAAAAGCUGUUAACAAUUACUCCAAAGCUCUUCAAUUCUGAUUCUUUUGCUUCUCGUAGUAAUCUCGCCAUUCCUUCAAAUUCCUUCAAUAUCUCAAAAGGUGGUAUCUGUAACCUUGUCAUUUUAAUCUCACCGGGAAGAUUAGGAAUAACGAAGGUUUCUGAAUCAGAAAAAACAUUCUUCAAAGGUUCAUAGAGUCUCAUACACUCUACAGCACACAAGGAGAAGAAACCACAACCAUUAAACACAAUUCUAGGAAUUUCAAAUUUGACAGUAGAAUCAUAUGUCCAUGGAAGAAACAAGUCAGAAACAACACAGUCUGGAUUUUGCUCAAGUAGUAGUUUCUCAAGUGGCUCUUGUAACAACUUUGUGGCUUUACAAAACUUAGUAAAGGUUUCGGGUGAAGGAAUUGAGUCAAUAUUUUCACACUGAUUUGGUAAACAAACUUGUGAGGAUGGAAACUCAAUGGUUUUGAUGUGUAUAUUGUGGCCAUUAAUUUUGGACUUUUCUAUAGAUUUUGAGAUGCAUGGUUCAUUGAGGGGUGUGGUAAUGAUUGUGGCUUUAACACCUUUUGAUGCAAAUAGUUUGGCCAUAUCAACCAUUGGUAUGCUAUGACCAGGAGCAAGAAAAGGAAAGAAAAAAAUGUGUGAAGUGUGAUAUUCACUACCCAUAUCUUUUUGACAAGUUGAUCAAACAAGCUUGGAAUGGUUUUGCGCCUAAAUUUGAAGGGAGAUGGAGUUCAGUUUAGGAUAUAACAUAUAUUCUAGAGUGAAGCUUUUAUAGGUUUUUUUCUUCUAUAAACUCCUUUUAGAAAAUUCUCUUAUUUUACUUGUCUUUAUUGUCGUAUGUGUUGAGUAGAAACAAUUCUCACAUUAUAAGCAGGUUUUGCAAGAAUGUAUUACACUCAAAGAGUCUGAUUCUAGUGAAAUAGUGGUGAACAUGACGGGUAUGUUAAAAAUCUUCCAUCUUCCGAAAUAUAAAUUUAUAAAUAGAAACAACUUUAUAUUACAAGUCGAUUUUGUAAAAAAAAAAAAUUCCAUAAAAGACAAGUCAUGUGAAAAUUGAAUAUUCUUUACAUAUCGGAUAGUGGAAUUAUCUUGAUGAAGUUUCGUUUUGGAUUACUCAAAUUUUUAAGUAAUUUUGGUAUGAAAAUUGUCAAAUUUUUCUAUACUCAAAUGAUUAAUCUAACACAUGACCAAUUGUCUAGGAGGUUAAAUUUCUUACCAUUUAAAUCAAUUUAUUGUUGAUCGAUCUCUCAAUAUAUAUAUAUAUAUAUAUAUGGGGAGGGAUCAAAUUACACCGGUGUAACAUUUGAGUAAUGUCACACUGCUUAAUAACGCUUUAACGAAUACAAAUUUUAUAAAAUCCACCGUUGAAUUGAAAGCUUAUAUCGUAUAGAUCAUCCAUGUUAAAUUUUAUAAAAAUCUAAAGUCGUUUGAUACAUUAUUGAGACCGAUGAAGAUUAAUGGUUUAUGCGUUUUUAUUGAAUACCGUUAAUUUUGAUCUAUCUCAUAUAUAUAUAUAUNNNNNNNNNNNNNNNNNNNNNNNNNNNNNNNNNNNAUACUUUCUUAGGUUCAUGUUGCUAAAAUAUUAAUUCCAAAAAUCAAUAAGUGUAAAAUAGUAUAUCUUUUUUUUUUACCGAAGUAAAAUAGUAUAUCUUAUAGGCAUUUGUUAGAACAUUUCCAUAUUUUUCUUCUAUCAGAUUUUUCUCCAAAUUUUUUUAUAUACAAAGGAUGUGUGAGAAUAUUUCCAAAUUAAAUAUGGGUCUGUUUGUUAUAGAUUUUUUUAAAAUAGAUUCUUGUACUGUUACAUAAUUUUGAGUAAAAAAAAUUUACAAAGAAAUUUUUUAUAAAAUCUUCAAAUGAAAAUUUGGUUCGAAUAGUUAUUCUUAAAAUGUUAUUUUAGGUAUUUGAUCAUUUUAUUGAAACUUUUUUUGAAUAUCAAAAUUUCGAAAUAUCAUUUAAUUUUUUUUUUGGUUUACAAUGAGCUUGGAUCGAACCCAUGACCUAUAACGUAUUACCCAAACCCCUCACAACUAGACCAAAUCUAGUGGCUUAAAUAUCAUUUAAUUUUGAAGCUAUUUCAAAUAGAUUUUCAUAAAAAUUAUUUUUGAAAUAUAAUUUUUUCAAAAAAUUGUGAUUUUCACUAUGUUUUGAUCUUCAAUAAUGUGUGUUUAUGUUAUAUAAUGUCAAAAUUAGUGUUUGAAUUUAGAAAAAACGAAUAUAAAAAAUCUUGUAAUAUUUUGAAAAACGGUUUUAAAAAAUCUAUUUUCAAAAAUUCAAAGAAAAAAUCUAUUUGUUUAAAACUAAAAAAUAAGUGACAAUGCUUACCUCAAAUGAUUCUUUCUUGUUGUUACUCCCUUCCUCUAACAAUCAACCUUCAAUCAACCAACACUAUAUGCAGUCCUAUAACCAGUCCUACAAAAAGCACACAGAAAACAUUUCAAAUCUUUUCAAUGACAAAUCAAUUCAUUCAUAAGAAGAAGGAAACCCUAAGUAGAUAAAUGAUUGAAACCCGAAGUAGAGAAAUUAUAAAACCCUAACGAAAUUUAUUAAAACCAAAUAGAAAUCAUAAAUUGAAAAGGAAGUGAGGUUAACGAAAUCAAACAACAGUGGUGAGAAGCGGCGUGUUCACUAACUGAGAAGCUUGAAGCGCCGUGUUCACUAACAGAGAAGCUGCGUGUUCAGAUCUAAAACGGAGGAGCAGUUUGUGAGUUUGGAGUGAGACGGAGACGCGUACGGUUGUUUUCAGAGUGAGACGGAGGAGCGGUUUGUUUGGAGUGAGACGCGUACGGUUGUUUUCAGAUCUUUCUCUGUUCUCUUCUUUGUUGAGAAAAAUAUAAUGAAAAUAAAAAAGUGGGAAAAGAAAAAUAUAAUGAAAAUAAAAAAGUGGGAAAAGAAAAAUCAAAUAAAAAACAAAAAAGCGCCAGAGGGAAAAGGUAUAGAGCGGGGAGUGAAAAAAAAUUAGAAUUAAUUUGAAGUAUACUGUGGGGGUUCUGCAAAAUCCCCAGUAAAAAAUUGCCAGUAAAAGGUAAAUUUGGGCGCGCCUCAANNNNNNNNNNNNNNNNNNNNNNNNNNNNNNNNNNNNNNNNNNNNNNNNNUUUUGUAGUAUUCUGCGGGGGUUUUGAGAAACUCCCACUAAAAAACCGCCUCUAAAAGGCGAAUUUUUUGUAGUGCAACCGGCCCUAUAUGUGUAAUGUUUAUAUUUUUUUUUAUUUUUAGAAUGUUUAUAUUCUUCUAACAGCGACAAAAUUAAAUAGUAUUGGCAAUAAUUAACCUGGUGGUUCUGUGCCUUGUUUUGGUGUAAAUGUGAGGUCGCAAGUUGUAUCUCUUCACCAAGUGACAACAUAUAAUUUUCUCUAUAAAUAAAGACAAUUUGCAUCCAGAAAAAUAAAACGGAAUUCAUCAUAUAUGUUUUAGUUUUGUACAUUAUCAUUCAUCGAUACAUUUUAUUUAUUGGACAAAUAUUUUUGACAUUAUUAUUUUAGUCGCACCAAAAAAUUAGUCUUGAAUCUGCCUCUAUAGUUAUAGCAAAACUUAUAUAUAAUAAUAUAUUAAUAUUCUCAAAAAGAUUCUAGAAUCAAUUAGAAGAAUAGUAUAUAUAUGGUUGUGUGGUCACAAUCACAAUUACAAAUUCAAUGUUUUGUUUAUUUGCGAUAAUAUUUUUUAUUUUUUAAAAUUUAUGUUAAUUUUACUUGCUAACAAAAAAAUACUAGUCUCUUGAAGUAAUCAAUUGUGUUUAUUUUUUAAAAUUAAUAAAUAUACAAAAAAGUUUGUUUUUAUUAUUUUCAAAAAUAUUUCAUCUCUAAUUAAAAUUUCAAUUUCUCUUCAUCACAGGGAUUCAUUUCAUGAGUUACACAAAUUUUUAAAUAACAAAUUAAAAUAAAAAUAUAUUUUAAAGGAAAAUAAUAACAAAUGUCCCAUGGCAUGUUUUCUACAGAAUUAUUACACUACUUAUAAAAAAUCACCAACUUCAUUAUCGCUUACUGCUUACUGCAGGGAGUAGUGGAUACAUAGACCGUUUCUGUGUUGACAGUCGGUUCAUUCACCUCGUAUUUUAGGUAUUUCUAUUUUGUCUUUUAGAAUUAAUUAGAAGUUGGAAUAGCGAUGACUACAUCACUAUUCAACAUCCAGGUGCUGCAUAUUUCUACAAGCAGCAUGAUGUUUCAAUUUUUUUAACCCUUUUCGGUAUGAUUUUUUUUUUUUAUUGAUUAAUAUAAAAAAUGACAUUCUUCUCGUCUUUGUGUGCAGUUGUUGGAUUGACACUUUUUUUGUUGAAACUUUUUCCAUGAGUUGAAAUCAUCAAGAUUGAAUUCGGCCUUAUAUUGUUAGAAAGGACUAGGUGCGUAGAUACACUCCGUGUUGAUGGUAGUGAUCGUUGAUCGUGCUACUCGGUUCUCCGAUUUUAUUUUUUUUGUGAUUCUUGUGCUCGGAGUGCUCAAUCCAUUUGAUUGACCAUCACUCGAUCUGACUUUCGAUGGUUUUGAGUUGCUUUGGUUUCUCAACAAGGUGUGCUGAUUCAAUUUCAAUAUUCGCGUCAUUUCUUGAUUUCAGACUGUUUCGCUUGAAAAAACCAUUAUCGCUUGGUGCUUACUGCAAGAAGUAGUGGGCACGUGGAUUGUUUCCGUGUUGACGGUCGGUUCAUUCACCUCGUAUUUUAGGAACUUCUAUUUUGUCAUUUAGGAUUAAUUAGAAGUUGGAAUGUUUUAUUGUCCUACGCGCUUUGCUUUUGUGUGUGGAUUCAUUGGGUUAGGUUUAUGUUCCCCCAAUUUUGUACCUUUUUUUUCUUUUUUAUUAAUAUAAUAAAAAGAUAUAGGCACAGGAUGGGGACGAAGCCUGUUUUAUCCCCUGAUGUCUAUAUGUUCUUCACCUUAUAAAAAAAAUUAUAAAGAAUCAAAUUAAAUACUAAUAUUUUAUUAGAAUAUGGUGUAAUAAAUUAUUUUUUUCUAUAAUGUGUGUAGUCAAUUUUGAAAAGUAUAUAUAAAAGGAUUAUUCUCAACAUAAAAAUAUUUGAUUGCGAAUGAUCGUACUUUUUUCCUUAAAAAAAUAGUUUUACAAAUAAACUAUAUGUCUAAAUUAUUAUAAUAAUUUCAUUUCUUUGACUGCUUAAAUAAAAAUAAUUUUUUCUUUCGAGCAACUGACGUGUGCUAUCUUUAUCAUGUCAGUCAGCUAGCGGGGCAAGAAAGGAGUCCAAUAAAACAGUAGAAAGGAGUCUAAUUUUAAAGUUAAAUAUGAUUUUGAUGAUCUAUAAAAUGGAGAACUUUUUAGUUUAUUCCAUAUUUAAUUUUUACUCCAUAUAAAAUUAUUAUGGUACGAUGUCACAAAAAAAAAAAACUAUUGUACACAGAUUUAGUUCCUACUAAAAUUAAAUUUUUUGAGGAAAAUGAUAAAUAGUACUCUGAAGUAAUGAUUAAAGAAACAAAAUAUGGAAAUAUAAUUUGGGUAUGUUAAACAGUGCACCCGGUGCACUUGUUAAGCAUACCCAAAAUAGAAAUAAAACAUAAAGUUAAUGUUGAUAAAAAUUAUUUUUUACAUUUUCAAUGCAUUGAAUGCACGAGUUUCAAUACAAAAUUUUCUUAUUUAUAUGUUUAACCAAUGCACCGGGUCGACUAUUUAACAUUUUCCAUAUAAUUUUUAAAAAGAAUAUUUUCUACUUAAAAUUUUCUUUUAUUUUCAUUUUUGUUUACUUAUCUAUCAUUAAAUUAUCAUUAAAUUCUUAAAUUGAUCAGACUACCAAAAAGAGUGUUUGGACAUUAUGUUCGCGUGUUGUUGAUAUUGAUUUUUCAAAAGUGGAUCUUUGAUAAAUUUAUAGUUGAAUUUGAAUGUGAUGGUUAUGCGUUUUAUGUUAUAAUAAUGUAUGAGAGGCUACUGGAAUUUUCUUAGUUGAAUUUGAAUGUGAUGGUUAUGCGUUUUAGCGUUUUAUGCGUUUUAGUUUUUUUUAAUUUUUUAAAUAUUAAAUAUUUUAUAUCAAUAAUUUUUUUUUAAGAAACAGAAUCGAACCUGAGAACUUAAGGAAUAAUAUAUUCUCAUAUUUCAAGUCAAUACCACCAGACCAACUCAAAUGAAUUAUAUCAAUAAAUAUUAAACUUUUUACUUUUAUGUAGUUUAAUAUAUGCCCUUAAAAUACAUAUUAAAGUGAUCUUUAUUUUAAUAUCAGCAACUCGAUCUCCAAUUGCAAGAAGCUUCUUACCGUGCAAAGAGGGCCAAACUUACUACCGUUCCUAAAUACUAGACCCUUACUCGUGCGAUGCACGGGUGUGAUGCAUUGUUUUAUAUUAUAAUUGGAGAAAUUGAAACAAUAUUAAUAAAUAUUAUUAAAAUAAUAAAAUAGAGAAUCCGAGAUUCAAACUCCAAUCAUAGCAUGGUUGAAGUGUUUUCGCUUAAUUAGUCCACAAAUAAAAAUAUCAAAUUUAUAAUUAAUUAGAGCAUCUAGUUUUAUAAAUCUAUAAAUAUGGGAUUUGAUGAACUCCUCAAUAGUCAUUCUUUGUGUUUGAAUUAAAUCAUCGGCUAAAGGAACUACAACGGGAUCGAUAAUCUGACCCACACCUUGAAUUAUUUGGAAGUUAGUAUAGAAGAUCACUUAAUUGACAAAAAAAAUUAAAAUGACACAUUUAAAUGAUACAUAGAUAAUAGAUAAUUAUGUCGGUUUAGAAUUAUCAUAAGAAUGCUAAUUUGAAUUACUCCUCACAAAAGACCUGCAGAUUCGUAAAAGAGGAUGAAUCAUAUGAACAGAGAAAUGACACAAAUUAAUGCGAAGUAUUUAGUUUUGAAAAAAAAAAUCAUGGGUGUAAUCAUCACAAAAAUACCAAAACCACUAAAAGAAAGAGAUGAAAACAAAAAUUAUGAAGAAGAAGAAGAAGAAGAAGAAGAAGAAGAAGAAGAAGAAGAAGAAGAAGAAGAAGAAGAAGAAGAAGAAGAAGAAGAAGAAGAAUGAUGGUUACCCAUCAUCUGCAAAAAGGAAUAUUACAAAACAAUGGUAACAAAUAAUCAUAUAAUUUGGACAAAUGAAGAUAAGCAUAAAAGUUGCAUGAAUGACGGUAUAUAUAUAUAUGGGUAAGGGAUAGACACAUUUAAGGGGGGGAAAACUUGAAAAGAGCAUAUGAAAAGAUAAUGCAUAUAAAUGGUGCAAUAUGAAAAGGAAAAUGAAACUGAUACAUAAAUGUUGAUUGGUAGGCAUUGGAAGAGGAGCAAGAAUUAAAUGAACUACUAAAUUGUGUUUUAGAGAGAAAUAGGAAGUGGUGUGACGUGAUAGAGUGAUUUAAUUGGAUGUAUUGGAUGACAUGACUAAAUGAAAAAAUUAUUUGAAUAUUUAUACACUAACCUUUGAUAAUUGUAUUGUCCAUUUCUUUUAAGAAAUGAAUAGGAUCUCUACUUGACUGAUCUGAACCUGUUGUUGAGAGGAAACAAAUUACCUCACAUAGAAAAAUAACUAGAGGGAGUUCAGUGCUCCUAUUCAUCCUUCAUUUAAUUAUUUUAUUAUGUAAGUUACUGUUCACGAUUUAAAUAGAUGACUAUGAUUCCAUUAAAACAAAAAGUGACUGGAGAGGAUUUCCUCCCAUCGAGACACAUGAAAUAAUGAUUCCUCGUGUGAUCAUACCAAGUUGGACGCUGCAGCAAACUGUUGACAAUUAUAAUAAUGUCAUGGCUAGGGAUGUCAAAAUAGAGAUUCUUACGGGAAUUAUCCUAUUUGAGAACUCAAAGAUGAGGAUUUUUUUCUCGUGGAGAUGGAGAAGAAAGUCCCCCGAGAGGUUUGGGGAUAGUGAUGGAAUUUUAUCUUCCGUUCCACAAAGAUUUCGUCCCAAAAAACAUUUAUAAAUGUGCAUUUAAUUACUUUAUAUAUUAUUUUUAAUUAUAUUUUCACACAAUAUGUAUAUAAAUUUAUUUAUAUAUGAUGUUUUAUAUCAUUGUCACAAAGAUUCGCAAUAAUAUCUUAAUUUUUUAUUUGUUUUAUAAUUAAACUUAUUCUUUUACAACUAAUUUGAUUGAAACUAAUAGAAAUUUAAUAUUGUACUUCUUUUAAGGUUAAUGGAUCUCGCAGGGACUGUGUGGAUCCGCUCCCAAAGAAUUUUGUAGCAGUGUCAGCGUUCAAUUUGCAGUUGCCACCCUUCCUUGUAUUGCUUCGUUCCUCUGUUGUUAUUCAUUCCUUUUAUAUCAUACUAAGUGUCUGUCUGUGUGAUCCUAUUUUUAUAUUAUGUCAAGUUGUGUAAAAGACUAUAUUCCAUAUUUUAUAUAUCUUUUUUUUAUGAAUUUUGUUGAAGAAAUAUGAAGAAGAUGUGUAAACUAAAAGAAUGGAACAAAUGAAUAGAAAUUGCUAGUGCAUAUGGUUGGUUUUGGAAGUUAAAAAAGAGUAGUUGAUUUUGGAAGUUAUUGAAGAAGAUGUGAACUAAAAAAAAAAAUUUGACAGUAUGUGAAUUAAAAAAAUUGUUAAGAGUAUUUUGAGAUUUUUUAAAAAAGGCUUCACCAAAACAAUAUUUUCCAUUAUAUGUUGGUAUAGAUAUAAGGCAAUCAAACCUAAUGCCUAAUUGUUCUUGGGUUGGGUCAACUCAAAUCAUUAAGCCCAAGUUUUCUUCUUUUUAGACAAGCCCGUCAUUUUUAUAUAUUAAAAUAGUAUACUCCUUCUUUGAUCAACACAUGACACAUUGCUAAUAAAAGCUAUGCAAAAUAUCAUAUUAAUAGAAAGAAAAGAAACACAUAAUUGGCUCAAUAAAUAAAAAAUUCUAAUUUAUUUAAAAUGAUUCGAAUUAAACACUAAACUACUAAAAUUCAAUUAAAACUUAAUUUAAAAUACUUUAAAUAUAGUGACUGAUGAGGACUCAUCAUGUAUGAUAACUCUCAACGCUGUGCGCAAUCCGUUGGUUUUAUUUUUUAGUUUUCUUAGAGACGUACGAAGUGAAUGAAACCUCUUCUCCGGUAUUGAUACCAAUUCUAGUUGCCAAUGUUUUUUUUUUCUCCAUAUCAUCAAGAACUACUUGUGGUAAAACAGACUGCUGCAAAAUAAUUUAGGUUUCAGAUACUAAUUCCUCUUCCGAGUCAGAAACUAACUCCGCAUAUCUGGAUCUAUAGUCUGUGUAUUAUUAUGUGUGGUAUUAUCGAAUGAACCUGCACUUUUCUCUUCCAAAACUUCCUCAAAAGCACUAUGAUUAAUAUCAUUAUCAUUCCGCCUCUCAGGAGCAGUAACCAUUGCAGCAUCAUCCCCAAUUCUGUCUGUCAAGAUUAGUAACCGUAGUAGCAUCAAUGUCUUUAAGAAUCUCAUCAACAUUAUUAUUAAAAAAUUUCUCAGCGACAUAAUUGUUUGUUGGAGUCUCGUUUGCGUGAAAUGAAGGCUUUUUCUGCUCUUCAUGAUCAAAUAACGAUAGCUUGCAGUUUAGGAGGCGGCACAAAUGACUGCACAAGAUUAGUUUCUUUAAGAAUCUUAUCUUCACCAACAUUAACAUGAUUCAAUAGUGGAAAAACACUUGUUAAGUCGGUUAAAAAUGAUUUCUUAAGUCAGUUCAGAACCUGACUCAAUAGUUACAGACAUAAGAAGUUUUGACCUAAUAAUUUUUUUCUUUUUUGGUUAGUUUGAUAUCAAGGGUAUUCGAUACUCUCCUAACACAUAUUAAAAUUUAAUUUGUUAAAAAGAAAAUAUAACUUCUUAGGUCAGGUAGUCAACGUUUGACUUAACAAAAGGUAUUUUUAAGUCAGUUAGUCAACAAAAUGACUUAAGAAAUUUCAUACGAAUUAUAUAUAUAUUUUUGUCAGUUAUGUUAAGUCGGGUUAACAGUGAACCGACCUAAAAGAGUUACAAAUAAUUAUGAAACUGCCACCACGUCACUUCUUAAGUCAGGUGGCAGGCGAACUGACAUAAGAAGCUUUGCUAUAAAGGUAUUUUUUUUGUACUAGUGAUUAUUAACAAUCUCCUCAGCUGAAUUGUUUGUCGGAGUCUCUUCUUUGUGAACUGAAGGAUUUUCCUGCUCUUCAUCAUCAACAACUAUAACUUGUGGCUUUGUAGGCAGUACAAUUGUUUCUUUCAAAACUUCAGGUUUCUUCUUGACUACAUAUUUCGGCACAACUUAUUCAACCUUCACCUUCUUAGACUGAUCAUCAAUGCGAGGGUGAAGUUUGUUACAAAGUGAAAUUGAGUGGCCAAUAGUAAAAUAAUUAAAGCAAACGUUAGGGAAACGUUCAUAGACAAUUUCAUUAAAAUCAUGUUUCCACUUCGACAGUCGAAGCAAACCAGGCCAAAGCUGAAAAGUGCCUAUUGUCCAUGCCUUUCGUUUAUCCUCCAAAUUUUCAAAGUGAAAUUGUAAAAANNNNNNNNNNNNNNNNNNNNNNNNNNNNNNNNNNNNNNNNNNNNNNNNNNNNNNNNNNNNNNNNNNNNNNNNNNNNNNNNNNNNNNNNNNNNNNNNNNNNNNNNNNNNNNNNNNNNNNNNNNNNNNNNNNNNNNNNNCUGGCUGGAGUGGGAUAUGGAUGGUCAUGAGUCAUGACGGCAAGAAGGCCAGAAGAUGAAGCAAAGAAGAUUGAGAAACAAGGGUUGUUGUUGUUGUUGUUUUUGUUUCUCUGUGAUUUUCAUAAGUUAGUGUUUUUAAUCUCAUCCAUCAAAAAAUUUAAUUGCCACGUGUCAUCCAUCGGUGAAAAAACUGGAGAAAAAGGAGCAUAAGAUAAUGGAGUGGAUCUGAACUCUCGCACCAAAUAUAGAAUAUCAUAAAUGUUAUAAUGCUUGUAUCAAAAACAACAAUAUUCAUUCACUUAUUCAAAUUCAUAAGGAAUACAUCAAUUUCGCUAAGGAAUACAUCAGUUUAAGGAAUACAUAUUCAAUUUCGCUAAAAACUAAUAAGGUCAUAUCUACAAACAGACUCAUAACAUCUGAGUUAAUAGCAUAAAACGGUCUAAUGUCUUUGACAAAGUAUACAAUUGAUUUGACAAACUUCAAAUGUCCGCAAUAAGCAUGUAUCUGGAUCUGCAACGUUGAUGAUGCUAAAAUCAUUGAAUUUGUACUGAAUUUGGAUCGAAACAAAGCUGCGAAUCUGAACAAAAAAACAAACACCGUACUAAGACGGGACAAACAAAACAAAUACUUCGCACUAAGACGGGAUUAAAACAACAUCAGAUGAAAUAAUCACAAGAGAUAAAACUCGAAUAAAACCUAAAAGUAUGUGAAUAUCACUUAUUUAAAUAAAAAGAAAUAAAAAACAAUCAAGAUGGGUGAUUCCGGAUCAAAAUUGAUCAUAAAUCACCCCUCUCUAAUUGAUAAACCAAGAGAGACCAAGAGGUGAAAAAGCUGCCGGUGGCAGAGAGAAAUGUCAAUAUUCAUAUCCUUAUCUUAUCACUAUGAUAUCCUGCGCACCAAACAUAUCUUUAUAUAACAUUUUUUGCUACCAUUUGAAAUUAUUUUAAUAAUUUGUGUGCAUUAAUUUCGAAUGAAAUUUUUAAUUUUUGUUCUUGAUAUCAGUUACAUAAUAAAGCAAUUUCUUCAUAGGAAGAAAUAAAUGGAACAUAUACAUAGUAAUAACAUUUUUGUGUGGUAUUUCAAUUCCUAAUCAAUCCCAACUCCCCUAUUAAAUCAUUCAAAUUUGAAUAAGAUGAUCCUUCUUUUUUCAUUGCCCUUUUUGCUAACUCUGAUAACACUUUCACCUUAUUCCUCAUUUCCUUUGUUCCUUCCCCUUCCAUAAUCCUCUUCACAACCUUCUCUAUAGCAUCCCUUUCAACACUAUCCCCAACAAAUCCAACCCAUUUUUUAACACCAACAGGUACACCAAUUUGAAGUACCUCAUUCACCAACUUCUCAUUGUAAAAUUGCUCCGCCGCAACAGGCCAAGUAACCAUAGGCACCCCUGCAGUUACUCCUUCUAAUACCGAAUUCCAUCCGCAAUGAGUCACAAAUGCCCCAAUUGCUUCAUGUUCAAGAAUCAACACUUGAGGUGCCCAACCUCUAAUAAUCAGUCCCUUUCCCUCCAUUCUUUUCUCAAAUCCUUCAGGUAACCAUUCUUCUUCAUCUUCUUUACUUUUCCUCACUACCCAAAUGAAAUUUUGUCCUGAUGCCUCCAGUCCUAUAGCAAUUUCUUGAAGUUGAGAGUUAGGAAAGUUUGCUAUACUUCCAAAGCAUAUGUAAACAACUGAAUUGGAUUUCUUCAUGUCAAGCCAUUUUAAGCACAUAUCAUGAUCAAAAGCUGUUUUUCCUCUAUUUACUUUUUCUUCUAUAUCCCUAUUGUAAAGACACAAAGGACCAAUAUGCCAUGAUUUUCUUCCAAGUACAUUUAUGUAAUAAUCUGCAUAAUCAUUUUCAAGAUCAUAGAAGCUGUUAACAACAACUCCAAAGCUCUUCAGUUCUGAUUCCUUUAUAUCUUGCAUUAAUCUGACCAUUCCUUCAAAUUCCUUCGAAUCCUCAAUAGGCGGAGUCUGUAGCCUUGUGAUUUUAAUAUCACCAGGGAGAUUAGGAAUAACAAUGGGUUCGGAAUCAGGAGAAACAUUCUUGAAAGGCUCAUAGAGUCUCAUACACUCGGUAGCACAUAACGAGAAGUAUGAAAUCCCAUGAAACACAAGUCUAGGAAUACCAAAUUUGGCAGCAGAAUCAGUUGUCCAUGGGAAAAACAUGUCAGCAACAAUACAAUCUGGUUGUUGUUCAUGUAGUAGUUCCUCAAGUGGCUCUUGUAACAAAUUUGUGGCUUUUAAGAAUGUAGAAAAAAAUUCAUGUGAAGGGACUGAGACUGAGUCAAUAUUUUCACAACCAUUUGGUAAACCAGCCUCUAUGCAAGGGAAGUUUAUAGUUUGAAUGUGAAUAUUGUGGCCACUAAUUAUGGAUUUUUCUAUAGACUUGGAGAUAAAGGGUUCAUUUAGGAGUGUAGUAAUUAUAGUGGCUUUGACACCUUUUUCUGCAAAUAAUUUGGCCAUAUCAACUGUUGGUAUGAUAUGACCAUGAGCAAGAAAAGGAAAGAAAAAUAUGUGUAAAGAAUGAUAUUCAUUACCCAUGUUUUUUCACUAUUUAGCAUGCAAGUUUGUAGUGCCCAAACUGAAAUCUAACAAAUAUUUUUCAGUUUGGUAUAUAGUAUCUAGAGUGAAUCAUUUAAUACUUGUACUAGUUUGUUUUUUCUCAUUAAUUUUAUUGUUUAUCAAUUCAUUUGUUCUCUCAAUGAUAAUACAAGUUUUUGUACUAUGAUAUAUUUGAAGAGAUGGAAAAAAUAAUUUUUUUUUUAUGUAAUCAUAUAUUUGAAGAGACAAAAAAGAAUAUCUUAAAUAAUAAUUGAAAUGAUAAGGAUUAAAAAGAAAAUCAUAUAUUGCCAUGUCAAUUAUUAUUAAGUUUUGUUUUUGUUGCUUUUUUUGUUUUAUAAAAAACUAUCUCUUAAUAUAUGAUAAAACUAAAUUGCAUGUAUUUUUUAUUUUUGUUAAAGUUAUAGAGUAUUAUGGUGGCUAGUAUGUGUAGGUUGGAAUGGAGCUUUGAGGGAGGUGCGUGGAGAUGGCGUCGGGGGAUUUUUCGGUGGGAGGAGGAGUCCUUUGCGGAGUGUUGUGUUGUCUUAGAAAUGGAGGUGGCAUCUUGAUCCAUACAGGUUAAAGAAUCAGACAAAUAGAGGUGGCAUCUUGAUCCAGAUGAGGGUUAAUUAUUUUGUCCAAGGAGAAUAUCACAUGUUAACGCAUACUUUUCCAACUUCGCCAUCAAUUCAUAAUAAAUUAUUUGGAAUAAAAUAGUUCCGUUGAAAAUGUCCUUUUUUGCUUGGUCAAUGUAAAUAAUUUGACUCGGCGCAGUACGGUUAUGACAGAUUCAGUGGCUUGUUUAGGUGGUUGGAAAAUUGAUGAAAAUAUCGACCACUUAGUGGUUGGCUGUGUUGUCGC
rnacentral:lncRNA from 1 species